rnacentral:rRNA from 1 species
UGGGGAAUUUUGGACAAUGGGGGCAACCCUGAUCCAGCCAUCCCGCGUGUGCGAUGAAGGCCUUCGGGUUGUAAAGCACUUUUGGCAGGGAAGAAACAGCCUGGGCUAAUAUCCCGGGCGACUGACGGUACCUGCAGAAUAAGCACCGGCUAACUACGUGCCAGCAGCCGCGGUAAUACGUAGGGUGCAAGCGUUAAUCGGAAUUACUGGGCGUAAAGCGUGCGCAGGCGGUUCGGAAAGAAAGGUGUGAAAUCCCAGGGCUUAACCUUGGAACUGCACUUUUAACUACCGGGCUAGAGUACGUCAGAGGGGGGUAGAAUUCCGCGUGUAGCAGUGAAAUGCGUAGAGAUGUGGAGGAAUACCGAUGGCGAAGGCAGUCCCCUGGGCCUGUACUGACGCUCAUGCACGAAAGCGUGGGGAGCAAACA